GACGUACGCUGGCGGCGUGCCUAAUACAUGCAAGUAGAACGCUGAGGGAGGAGCUUGCUCUUCUGGAUGAGUUGCGAACGGGUGAGUAACGCGUAGGUAACCUGCCUGGUAGCGGGGGAUAACUAUUGGAAACGAUAGCUAAUACCGCAUAAGAGUAGAUGUUGCAUGACAUUUGCUUAAAAGGUGCAAUUGCAUCACUACCAGAUGGACCUGCGUUGUAUUAGCUAGUUGGUGGGGUAACGGCUCACCAAGGCGACGAUACAUAGCCGACCUGAGAGGGUGAUCGGCCACACUGGGACUGAGACACGGCCCAGACUCCUACGGGAGGCAGCAGUAGGGAAUCUUCGGCAAUGGACGGAAGUCUGACCGAGCAACGCCGCGUGAGUGAAGAAGGUUUUCGGAUCGUAAAGCUCUGUUGUAAGAGAAGAACGAGUGUGAGAGUGGAAAGUUCACACUGUGACGGUAUCUUACCAGAAAGGGACGGCUAACUACGUG
rnacentral:rRNA from 1 species